AGUCACUGUGCUCUUCAGUAAGGUCAUUCUAGUGCCAAUGUUUGUCUAUGGAGAUUGCAUGGCUGUGUGCUUGAUUUUAGACACCUGUCAGCAAUGGUGUUGCUGAAAUAGCCGAAUCAACUAAUUUGGAGGGGUGUCCACAUACUUAUGUGUAUAUAUAUAUAGUGUAUCUAUCUCAUUCAGUCAAUCUGCCACUGACACUGUAUUCUCUGAGUUCUGAGGUGCCAGAUCUGGUGACAUCUCAGCUGAUCAGCAGUUCAGCUGUGCCUCCCUGUCCUGCCCUGUUCUGUUAUGACUUGCAACUGCCAAUCUUAAUCCCCCCCUUCUUCCUUCUCCUCCUUCUCCUCCUCCCCUGGCUCCUGUCUCUGCAUUCAGUUACCCCUCCUUUCAAAAGCUAAACAUCAAACAGACUAGCUACUGAAAGGCCCAAACUUUCUGCCUUUGCAGCAGACAUAUCUCAUCUCUACACCCCCUCUCAUCUCCUCUCUUCUUGUCUCGUUCCCUUCAUCUGUGUGGAUUUAGAACACACUGCUUUCAUCUCACUCUAUCCUCAUGAAUGGAGAACAGAAAAUGCCUCUGUUGGUAUGAUAUGAGAGAUACACUUCACACUUAGAGAGAGAGAGAGGAGAGGUUUAGUGUUAAGAUGACUCGAUGAGACAGAGGCCUAGCCUUUCCCCUCCAACUAGGCUUUAAGGGGUGAAAGAGAUAGUGAGAGAAGGAUGGAGGAGCUUCAAAGAGGGUGAUUGCUAUAGAAAUAAAGAGAGAGAACGGGCGGGAAAGAGUGCUACAAGGCAGAUGAGGUGAGGGAGAGAGUGUGAAAGAACGGGCGAGAGAAAGCUAGGGAUGCAACAAUUCACCAAUACGCAUCGGCCCCUGAUUCAAAUGUUUAAGAUACAAGUGCAUCGGGCUGCUGACCCCAAACCGAUCCAAAUUAUGUAUGCAUCAAUCCAGUGAUGAUUUUAGCAUGUAAAGCUUGGUGGGGAUUUUUUUUUUUUUUAUGCAUGCUGUUGUGGGUGAAAUUACAAGAGUAUGUUAUAAUACUGUUAUUGCAUCAAAUUAUUGUUUUAUGCAACAGAAUAGGGGCUUCUUAAAACAAUAUUGUGUCUGUGUGAACUGAGAGUGGGCCUCUGGGGCUUAAUGCUGACAGUAGAUUUACGAUGCCUUAGGCCACAUUCAUUCAUGUGAGGGAGAUGGCUACGGUUUGACUGGAAGGUACCAGGGAGAGAUGGCUCGGGUUUGGGUUUCUAGACAAUGAGAACAGUCUAUACAGCAGAUACUGUCUGUUAUGAAUUAUUAGAAUCUUUCAUACAAAUCCUAACCUUGUGACCCAUUCCAUACAUCUGUUGUUUGUCAUGAACAUUCUGAAGGAUGUUCUUUGCUAUAAAAUUCUGUGGCUCAAAAUCCGCUCGUUGGGCUCUCAACGAAUCAUCUAGGGUUGAUUAUUCGACCAGCUUCAUUAUUGCAAUAAUUCAUCUAUGUUUUGAAUAAAGUAAUAUCCUGAUUGGUGAUUGACCUUGUCUCUUCUCAUUAUUGUUUCGAAUUUCC
rnacentral:lncRNA from 1 species